GAUGAACGCUAGCGGCAGGCUUAAUACAUGCAAGUCGAACGGUAAGUUUGGUAGCAAUAUCAAACCAAGAGUGACGUACGGGUGCGUAACACGUAUGCAACCUACCUUGUACAGGAGUAUAGCUCGGGGAAACUCGAAUUAACCCUCCAUGAGAUCAUAGAAUGGCAUCAUUUAGUGAUUAAAACUCAGGUGGUACAAGAUGGGCAUGCGUCUGAUUAGUUAGUUGGCGGGGUAAUGGCCCACCAAGACGAUGAUCAGUA
rnacentral:rRNA from 1 species